rnacentral:pre_miRNA from 1 species
CUGGGCUGUGUCCCGGCGCCCUGUGCUCCGGAGCCUGCGCUGGUGGAUUCGCGCUCCCG